rnacentral:rRNA from 1 species
UCGAGAAUAUUCCACAAUGGACGAAAGUCUGAUGGAGCGACGCCGCGUGCGGGAUGAAGGCCUUCGGGUUGUAAACCGCUUUUGUAUGGGAAAAAUUUCGAUGAUGGUACCAUACGAAUAAGAGGUUACUAACUCUGUGCCAGCAGUAGCGGUAAUACAGAGACCUCAAGCGUUAUCCGGAUUUAUUGGGCGUAAAGAGCGGGUAGGUUGUCAUAUUAGUCAGAUGUCAAAUCUUCGAGCUCAACUCGAAAACUGCAUUUGAAACGGUAUGGCUAGAGGGUGUGAUAGAUCUAUGGAACUCAUGGUGUAGCAGUGAAAUGCGUUGAUAUCAUGAGGAACACCAAAGGCGAAGGCAUUAGAUUGGCACACUCCUGACACUGAGCCGCGAAAGCGUGGGUAGCGAAUGGG